rnacentral:rRNA from 1 species
CGUUAAGGUGGGCACUCUAAGGAGACUGCCGGUGACAAACCGGAGGAAGGUGGGGAUGACGUCAAGUCAUCAUGGCCCUUACGGCCUGGGCUACACACGUGCUACAAUGGUCGGUACAAAGGGUUGCCAAGCCGCGAGGUGGAGCUAAUCCCAUAAACCGAUCGUAGUCCGGAUCGCAGUCUGCAACUCGACUGCGUGAAGUCGGAAUCGCUAGUAAUCGUGAAUCAGAAUGUCACGGUGAAUACGUUCCCGGGCCUU